rnacentral:rRNA from 1 species
CAGUCGCCGCGGGAAUACGUAGGGUGCAAGCGUUAAUCGGAAUUACUGGGCGUAAAGCGUGCGCAGGCGGUUUGUUAAGACAGAUGUGAAAUCCCCGGGCUCAACCUGGGAACUGCAUUUGUGACUGGCGGGCUAGAGUAUGGCAGAGGGGGGUAGAAUUCCACGUGUAGCAGUGAAAUGCGUAGAGAUGUGGAGGAAUACCGAUGGCGAAGGCAGCCCCCUGGGCCAAUACUGACGCUCAUGCACGAAAGCGUGGGGAGCAAACAGGAUUAGAUACCCCCGUAGUCCCUGUCUCUUAUAU